rnacentral:rRNA from 1 species
UACGUAGGUGGCAAGCGUUGUCCGGAAUUAUUGGGCGUAAAGGGCUCGCAGGCGGUUUCUUAAGUCUGAUGUGAAAGCCCCCGGCUCAACCGGGGAGGGUCAUUGGAAACUGGGAAACUUGAGUGCAGAAGAGGAGAGUGGAAUUCCAUGUGUAGCGGUGAAAUGCGUAGAGAUGUGGAGGAACACCAGUGGCGAAGGCGACUCUCUGGUCUGUAACUGACGCUGAGGAGCGAAAGCGUGGGGAGCAAACAGG